rnacentral:rRNA from 1 species
UACGUAGGGUGCGAGCGUUGUCCGGAAUUAUUGGGCGUAAAGGGCGCGUAGGCGGCGUUCCAAGUUAGGCGUGAAAGUCCUGGGCUCAACCUGGGAACUGCGCUUAAGACUGGAAUGCUAGAGGAUGGAAGAGGGUUGUGGAAUUCCCAGUGUAGAGGUGAAAUUCGUAGAUAUCGGGAGGAACACCAGUGGCGAAGGCGGCGACCUGGGCCAAUAUUGACGCUGAGGUGCGAAAGCGUGGGGAGCAAACAGG